AGGCAGCCAGCACAAAAAAAAGAAAUCCAAUAGAAUCCAUUAAAAAUGAAAAGUGUCAAACACCCGGUGUGCAAAAAGAAAUCAUGCCAACAUUAAAGCUUAUCUGCUUGAGUUCAUGGAUCUAUGGAGAUGGACCCCAAUAUCUCCAGGAUGUUGUUAUUGCAAGAUCAGAUGGUCCCAAUUACUGCUGCUGAUCAGACCAGCAUGAGAUGACAAUAUUUGUAAGAGGCCAACGUCGUAGGAUUGCUAGAGUUACAUUUCUUAUCUGAAAGUUUGUGUUAUUAUGAAGAACACCUUGUGGUGUUUCGUUUCAGUUUGGGUAUCAUAUUCAAGCAAUGUGUGGCAGAAUUUUUGUGUCAAAGUUCUCUUUAAAUCAGUUUCCUCUUUUUCUUCCCCCAGUAAAUGAAUGAUCUGGAGGCAAAGAAAUGCUCUAUAUGUGCUUUCAUUCUCUGUAUAAUUUCAGCAGCUUAUCUUACAGUGUAAUUAACUGCUAGUAUUCCAAGACGUUGUUUUGAUAUUUUCCUAGCAGUGAAGCAAUACAAGGAUUUUUACUUUACUGUUUGAUUAAUACACUCUAUUUGUAGUUUUUGUCUGAAUUAUAUGAUUUUCCUAUCAGUUGCGGAGAUUUAAAGGAUAUAGUGACAACUCAGUGGACCAGGUUCUAAAAUUGCAAUGAUGACAAACUAUCAGCAAUUGGCAUCUUUGCACCGUAACACUGAUAUUGAACAUCUGGAGAAUGCAAAUACACAACUAGAUAGAAAUCUUGAAACAGUUCCCUGAGAUUUCAUGCUCCUCAAAAAGGGUGUACUUAGUUAAAUUUAUCUUUGAUGGUGGAUCUGUAGAUGUUAAUGAAUUGUUCAAGAUUUCCAGGCAUUUAUGAUCAAAACUUGAUGUAAACUAUUUGGACAUGCCACUUUAUUUGGCUGAAGUUUCUCUGUGU